rnacentral:rRNA from 1 species
UACAGAGACUGCAAGCGUUAUUCGGAUUCACUGGGCGUAACGGGUGCGCAGGCGGUUGUGUGUGUCAGGUGUGAAAGCCCGGGGCUUAACCCCGGAAUUGCGCCUGAAACUACAUGACUAGAGCAUUGGAGAGGGUAGCGGAAUUCACGGUGUAGCAGUGAAAUGCGUAGAUAUCGUGAGGAACACCAGAGGCGAAGGCGGCUACCUGGACAAUUGCUGACGCUCAGGCACGAAAGCGUGGGGAGCGAACAGG